UAGUAAAAAUCAGUAAAUUUCUAAAAUCUGUGAAAAUUUUUAAUUUCUCUAUGGAUAAAUUCCCAUUUUCCUGUUGAUUUUUACUCAUUUUUUUUUUCCUAGUUCCAAAUUUCCUACUCUUAAUUUGGGGGAAAAAAGUUUUCUUUUGUUCGGGUAGUAUAAUAUCCGUAUGUACAUGGAAAUACAAGUUUUGGAAAAGAAAAUUAAAAUUUCUAUUCGUAUACUUAAAAAUGCGCUUGAUGUGAAUUGUAAAAUUUGUUUUAUUAAUGUUAUAUGUCUUGAGUAAUUGAAGUUUCAAAUUUCUAUUUAACUUUUACCAUAGAUAUUUAUGUAAUUAGUAGGAUCAUGAAAAACCCAAGACACGUUGAGUGAUUGAGAUUGAUGUAAGAGAAGGAUCUAAUUCUUUGCUUUCCUUUCCUCUUAUAUGAGUGAGUUCUGUACUUACAUACAUGUGUUAUAUGUAUACUGUAUGUGUUGGUGUAUAUAUUGAGAUUGGAAUUUUGCAGAGGGUUAGAUAGGAGUGGGGUAGGGAAAAUGAAGUUGCAGUAGAUCAUGAGGACAAGCAUAAGACAAAAGAUGAGAAGAUUAAUAAUUUUUAAUAUAAAGUCUGUCUAUCACUCGCAGCAUCCAUGUGUUUGUGUUCAGAGAUGUUGCAUGAUUAUGUUAAAGGUUUUUCUGUAUUAAAAUAGGUUUUAUUAAUUUAUUUUUGGUGUUGAUGAAAUGAACUUCCUCUUGCCAUUAUUAUAAUUGUUCGGUAUUACCAUAAGAAGACCCAGAUAGUGGAUGUUGGCCUUGGUGUAGAUACAUACAAUAGUCUUUAUGCCAUGCCAAGUUCUUUUUACCCCUUUUGCACCAUCUUUGGGUUAAAAUCAUGAUGACAAGCACUGAACUUAUGUUCUAAUUAUGGCCUAUUUGAAUUUCGACAGCUAGAUUGCUAAAUCUAGAUUUGAGAGAAGCCCAGUGCUACUUGAUUUUGAGUUGGUCAAAUAUUCUUUUUUUAGGGGCUAAAAUGGGUGGUUUUUCUUAUCCUUUAAUCUUUAGAUUAUUUGGAGUGAAGAAGAAGGUUUCUUUUUAAAAAUAAAAAUAAAAAUAAAAAAAUCCUCCUCUCUCUCUUUUGUUUUCUCCUCAAUCAUCUGCAAUCAAUGGUGUGGACUGUGGUGGAACUAUGAUUUGUUUUCCUUUGACCUUUCCUUUUCUCUGUUUUUGUAUUAAGGGUGAAUUCAAAAGUUAGGUUAAACUUCUAAUUUCCUUUUGAAAGUAGGAAUAUUAGGAUCGAUCAGUAAAUUAUUGUAUGCUUAUAGUUGAUUGAAUUAUAAAUGAGUUUUAAAAGCAAAUGAAGGUGCAGGUAAACAUUUUCUUGUGGGGAGAUCAUGUUAAUAAAGUAUUUGAUAAUAUUGUUAUUCCAUUACAGAAAAAUAUAAACUAUGGCCUGUGUGGAUGGGAAUUUAUAUAGUAGGAUGAGUCAUAUGUGUCAACAAUAAUUGAAAAGUGGAGUAGGGCGGCAGACUUUUGUUUUCUAUGUGGAGUAAGGAAUACGCUUAUAAUAGAAGAAUUUAAGCGUCAAUUUCAUAGAAAAAGACAGGUCUGAGAAAAUGUCACACCUUUCUUCUCCCUUCAUCUUUCCUUUGUUAAUUAAAUCACAAAAAAAUAAAAGGAUGAUAAAGGAGAUACUUUAUAAUUGUGUUUUGUCUGAAGUCCAUCACGAAAAUCUCUCGGGAAUUUGUUAAUUUUUAUAGACUCGAGUGUGUUUAUUUAUGAUUGUCUUAAUUUGUGAUUUGCUAUAUCAUCCCCGACCCAUUAGCAUGGAGUAUUGUAACGGUGAGCUGCUGCUGCUGCUGCUGCUGCAACUUGAUAAAGGUAUGUUUGCUUUAGAGAAAUUAUAAAGGUGUAUGAGUUGGACCAUUCUCGGAUGGUUAAGUUUCUUUCCCAAAUGGCUUUAAUGGAAUUGAAAAGAGAUCCCAGUUGGUUACAACUGCAUGUUAUGUGAUGCUACCAUUCUGAAUUUAUUGAGUCAAUAUCUUGUCUUCUUUUUCCCUUUUCUCUUUUCCACGCAUCCAUCACAUUCACAUAUAUGUAUAUAUACAUGUAUACAUCUUCUUCUUGGAGAAUAAAAGAGAGAAUACAUAGCAUAUACAUAUACUGCAAGGAAAUUGUUUCGUUUUCUUUUCAGCAACCUGGAAGAAAGAAAAGUUGUGUAAAGAAACAAAGAGAUGCUCGGCAAGAGUAGUAUCCAAACAUAUGAUCUUUUGACCAACACGGCCUCUUUUGCCAGCUCGUUGCUCUUCAAAAAUGCUCUUAAUUCAUCCACAGUCUCUUUCCCAUUCAUUCCCAAAAUCCUGCACUCGUAUAUAUAUAUAUGUGUGUUAGUAUGUAAGUAGUUGGUCAAAGUAAGCGUCGGAAUAUAUAAUAUAUAAGAUGUACGCAAUUAAUUAAUUACCCGUUGAGUUUGCAAGCAAUGGUUGAUUCUGCGAAUUGGUGAGUGCUUCUGAGACUCAAGCUUCCGCACAGCCUGUAAUUUUUCUGCAGAUGAUACUUCUGGUGUUCAUUCUCUGCCAUGUAGAAAACCGAAUCGAGCUCCAUCAGCCUCGUCAAGAUCCUCCUGUUCAGCUUCAUUUGCCGUCUGAUUUUCGACUUCUGCGCCUGCUUCCUCUCCUCUUCCUCCCCGUAAAAGAUGGCUGAUCUCCGGUGUCCGCUCACUCCAAAAUUCUGCACCAUUCAACUCGGUAUUCAUAUUCAUAUAUGUAUAUAACAUCUCAUGAUGUAUGCACGUAUGUAUAUACCAACAUACCAGGUGGUCUCUGUUGGUUGGAUCGUGAGUUUCCCAGAAGAUAUCACACAGUUUUUCAUACGAUACUUUUCUUGUAUCGUAUAUGACCAUUACAGCCUCUGUGGGUUUCUUCAGGGUUCCUCCACAAUAGCCUGUAGCUGUCUUGACAAUUCCAUUUACAGCUCCCAAGGCUGCUUCCAGAUCCAGAAAACUACCUGUAUAAUGCUCAUGUAUCAGUAUCUACAAUAUAGGCACGCACACACACGCACACACACACACACACACACACAUAUAUAUAUAUAUAUAUAUAUACCUCCUGCAAAAACUGCUUCUCUGAGGAAAUUUGAUGGAACAAGAGUUGGUGAUGUGGUUUUGGAGAUUAGAAGAUCAGAAACUUGGGUGUCUAACUGAGGAAGUAACUUGUACAUGGUGUUCAAAUUGAAGAUCAGUAAUUUGCAUCUCAAGCUUUAUAAAAAAAAAAAUGGUGAUACAAUAUUCAAACAAUGUAUUAUAUAUAUAUAUAUAUGUAUAUAGCUCUAAGCGCAGAUGUAAUGCA